rnacentral:rRNA from 1 species
UGCGUAGGUGGUUUCUUAAGUCAGGAGUGAAAGGCUACGGCUCAACCGUAGUAAGCUCUUGAAACUGGGAAACCUGAGUGCAGGAGAGGAAAGUGGAAUUCCUAGUGUAGCGGUGAAAUGCGUAGAUAUAGGAAGGAACACCAGUGGCGAAGGCGACCACCUGGACUGAUACUGACACUGAGGUGCGAAAGCGUGGGGAGCAAACA